CUUGCCUCAUAACAAAAGUAUCACCCAAACCGGGAACAAACCCGAGAAGUUUACAAGCCAUUAUUAAGAUAAUUAAAAGGAGUUGAUAUAUCAGUUUCUCCAACUUAUUACAAAACACUGAAAUUUCACUUUCCCUUGUCCUUGUCCUUCUUCACUUUAAGCACCUCAAUCUCCUUCUUCAAUUCCACAUAAACCAAAGCUAUUUUCUUCAUCAUUUCUUCCUUCAUACCAGCAAGCUCUUUCUUCACCUCUAAGUCGUCUCGUUUCUCAAAAACAAUAGUAUCCAGCUCUGUCAACAACUUAUUUUGCUUAUCCACAUUCUUUUUAAUCACAUCAAUUCUAUCAUUGACAUAGCCAAACUUCUUAUUUUCCUCACACGACUCAUAAACAUACAUGGAAACAGUAGCAAUACCACCAAGCAAAGCAGAUAAUGAGGCAAAGAUGAGAGGUGUAUAGGCCUUGGCAAAGUCUAAACAAGCCAUAUCCAAUGAUGCUUGAAUCCUUGGAUUGUAGAUAAUCGACAUGGAAGACAUGUUUCCUUCACUAUAAGACACCAGUUGGUGUCUCACUGUCUCCGAUAAGGUCAUGAAACUUGUCAAUCUCCGGGCAGCAAGAGGAUCGGCAUCGCAUGAUUUCUUCAAACUCAAAUAGAUGCGGCGAGCUCCAACCAGUUUCAUCAUCUUGUACCAUGUAAGGAUCUCGCCACUUACAUGGACACGAUACUUGUUCCAUGAUGUAACAAUCUUGCCACUUUGAGAAGCAAAACCAGGCCUUUGGGAAACGCUGCGUUUUGCUAAAAGGCGAUUUUGGCGAUUGUUUUGGCGAUUCUGUUACGGAAGGUUCUCG
rnacentral:lncRNA from 1 species